rnacentral:lncRNA from 1 species
GCACUGCUAAGCUACAACCCCAGCCCAAUGAGACAUUUUUUUUCCUUCUGUAAUUGCUCUCAGUGUCUUUUGCUAGCUCUCAGUAAGUACAAUGACCAGAGAGCCCUUCCUUGCCAGGUCUUGGCAAUGGUUUUAUGAGUUGGAUGUAGAAACCCAGGCUAAGGCAAACACCCAGGUAAAGCUGCUGCUUGCCUCCCCCAGAUAGCUUAUGGAUAACCUUAUAUGAUCAUUUUGAGCUUGUCGACUCCAUAGAACUUUACAUGUCUGCUCUCACCUUGCUAGGUUACGUUAGAAACAGGUAGCCCUGAAUGCCAUUUAAAUUAGAUUUUUUUCUUGUUUUUGGAGGUUGUAUCUAAACCUCACAACAGUUGCCUACUGAUCUUGAUCUCUUGCCAGUUGGGCAUUUCAACGGUCAGUGUUCUAUGCAGGAGGAGGUGUGUAGGUGGAUUUUCCUGUCAGCGAGGCUUCCCUGUUAGAUAUUUAUGUAUUCGCCUCCUAGUCCUAGUGGCAACCUUGUUCAAGUUAAACAACUAAAACAGAGGGAACAACUUGAGUACAAGCCUGUCCUAGUCAUCUGCAUAAAGAAUGUAUAGGAAUUUGAAGUGUUUUGAGACUCAGGAAGGAAAGAGGAGAGCGCCUGAGACCAAGGGCCAAGUUGGCGACUCUGUCCUUAAGCACUCAUAUCCCGUCCCCACUGCGUCCUACCACCAGAACCUUCCUUUUAACAAAAGUACAAAAACCAUGUAACACAAAACAGAAUAUGAGAUCUUUCAAUGACCGUGUUCAUGCUGUGACUAGGAAAUGCUCGCUAGGGCAAAAACUUUCAUGCAGGUGAGCUAACAACCUGUUAUCAUUGCUCCAAAGGUACAGAGUUGAAGUGGGUGUCAGUAACACAGGCAGGCUGGGUUACUUCAACUUCAGCUUCACUUAGGGAGACAAGAAUUCUGGUAUUUCUGUGUUUCCUUUUCCAACUAGACAGUAAAUUCCUUACAGGAAAGGAUGAGGUCCAUUUGGCUUUGUAUCUCUGGGUAGCCACUUAGUGGCGGGGAUGUAAGAACACUGGAAACACUUUCGUUUAGAAUUACAGGACUCUCCAAACAGCCAUAUCCCUUUAAACAGAGGACAUCAGGCAUCCAUAUUUCUUGACUGCUUACAAAUAUUUGAUACAAGGGUUCUGUCUCCAUUAAUGGGGUUGGUAACGAGGGCUCCAUGUCUCAAGAGUCAGGGGCCAUGGAGUAAUGGGUGAGAAGUAUUAAUGCUGGUGAGAGGUUACAGAAUGAAUGGAGGGAUGGAGGGUGUAAUUUUUCCCUAGGCAGAUGUGAGUGUACAUCUGCAUGCCACUGAUGAAAUGCCAAAACUACAAUGAUUCUAGCCAAGUCUAGCUUGGUGAACCAAUGAGUUUAUUGGGGUUACUUAGAGGAGCACUCAAAGGCAGCUGCCUCACCAGAAAGCCUGCCCUAGCAUGGAUGGUGAGCUAGGAAAGCUACCUGGGUGACUUACAGGUACCUCUGAUGGGGAAAGUCUUCAUUCCUCAGUACCUAAGCUGCUUUUAUAGCCUUGAAGGGCACUGUGGAUCUCAUAACUUGUGAUCUUCUAAGUUUUAUGAAUUUCCUGAGCCUUCUUUACCUUCCUGGUCGUUGAAGCUUCUCUCCUCCUUCCAGGAGGGAAUUCUUUGAAGGAGGUGGAAAAAAAUCCCCAUGGAAGAUGGCGAGUUCAUUAAUGUCCACUGGGACAAAUUACCAUGGGCCAAAACAGUAGAAAUCCACUAUCUUCUAGUUCCAGAGUUCAGAGGCAUGACAAGCAUCUCCCUGGGAUGUCAUGCAACUUUGAGCCAUGUUGUGUUACUUCAGGAGGCUCCAAGGGAGAAGCUUGUCUUGUGCCACCCUCCCUCCCUCCCCCUUUAGAGGCCACCUGCAUCUUUUUGUUCCUAGCUCUUUCAUUCCUCUUCAAAGCACUUCCGAUUUGGCAUUUCAGAUUUGGCCUUGACUUCUGAUAGGCCUUGGCAACCUCCCUCUCUUUCUGAGGGCUCUUGUAAUCACAAUGGGCUUAUCCUGACCCAUCCAGAUGAUCUCCUGAUUUUAAGGUUAACAGAUAGGCAAUGGAAAUUCCACCUACAACCUCAAUCCCCCCUCCCCCCCAAUGAAUAACAUACAAGUCCUGGAAGAAGGGCUGAUGUACAACUUUGGGUGGGAAGCAUUCCUUUAGUAAGAGGGAAGCUCCCAAUGGUCACUGGAGUGUCAGCAUCUUCACUCCAUAUCAAUACUGAAGGAAACGUGACCUCAGACAGUUUAUGUGAAUUUCAACUGUUGGCUCCACAGGGGAGGAAAUUUCCCGGAGCCCUGGGCUGUUUGGCAUUGAAGUGUAGAGCCUUUACUCUUCCAGUUUGCUUUGCUGUACCUGGGCCUCACCUGGUGUCUAGUCUCAAGAGACAGUUCCACUCCAUGGAUUCAGAAUGGACUUGAUCUGUCCGUAAGAGUUUGUUUGAACGAGAGCAUGAUCUUUUAGAACUACCUUCUAAAUGUCCACUUGGGGACACUGAACUUUAGCUCAAGGGUUCCAAAAGUCUAAAAUCCUAGAAGUCCCCCUUAGGCAUUCUACGAAGAGGGGCCUAAAGAAUGCCCUCCCAAAGCAAGCUUUCUCCCUUAGCAGCUGCAGUAAAUGUAUGUCACCAUAUGGUAACUCUGUUGGAUGAGGCUGGCACCUAGAAGAAAAAGAGGACUUUAGCCACUGGGUGUUCACAGUGAUGGAGCUGGUGACUCUGGAAUAGAGUCCAACUCCUAAGACAGAGGGUGGUCCAGUGGGCAAAUGCAAGAAGUCUUCAGUCAAGGUCACUGCAAGAGGGGAAGACUCAGGAAGACUUACUGCAUGAUUUUUUCACUUGGAAAGAGCAAACCAUGAUCUGGGGUAACAGAUUCCCAAAGGAGGCAUCCAGAUAUUAUUUAGAAAGUUACCACCCUCCAAGUCAGCUUUACUUGGAGCUUUACUUUACAGCUGCCCAGCGGUUCACAUAAAGAUGGAACCUGACCAAAGACAGGGCACAAGACCUUUUUGCUAAGAAAGUAAAUUCUUUAGAACUCUGAAAUGAAUCCAGUCUUUGAAGAGAGACGAGGCAUUGAGGAGAGACCUUGGGGGCCAUGGAGAAAGGCAGCCCUGGUUCCUGGAUGAGCAUCACGAAGGGACUACAGUAUGUUGUUGAGUCAUGGAAAAGUCACUUCAGCAUAGUACUACAGAGUUUCCUUUCAUCCCUAGCAACUGAUGGGUGACAAAGGGAAUCUUGAACCUCUGCCUCACAAAGACGAACAAAGCUGACUCAAGGCACCUGUGUUCAGGAAUCUGACUAAGCUAGAAAGGGCAAAGCGACCCACGAUGGGUCUUCUUCCCUUGUGGCCACUGGCAGCUUCUGAGAUCUACAGACUGGAUGAUUAAGAAAACUUGCCAAAAACGGAGACAGAAGCAGGAGUUAAAAGGAAAGGUCUCAGCCUGCUACGAACCCCAUCCUCUGCUCCUCGACAAUGAUCCUCCAGUCCCCACAUCCCAGCAUCAGCCUACACCGAACCCUGUUCUCUGCUUACCCACAACUCUAAGCUGAUCCUUUGGGUAGGAUGGAGGUUCAACUCUGGAGCCUUUGGUGGCUAAAGGGCAGGAUGAUCCUAAGUACAAUCUAUCAUAGGGUCUCUCCCCAAGGUCAGGCCAUUCAUUAUAAGACAUGCUGGCAGUGUCUAAAAUGGAGAUGGCCUGGCAACUGGGAUGGCAUAAUGUUUCUAGCAACCUCCAGACCCUCGGUUGCUAUGGACAGAGACAAAGAUGAAAGGACCUGGAUUGUGCUUUGCAUACCCUGUCUUCCCAUGAGCAAGGGGCCAACAGAGGGAGUAUGGAAGUAGAGAGGGAAAGCCUGGCUUGUUUUAAAGAAGACAGGAAGAGAGGCAAAUAAAAUGGUUAUCAGAGGCUGAUGGAGGGCAGGAGCUGGGUGGGAAAGGGGAUGGAAAGAAAAUAGGGGAGGGAUCAGGUGUGGAGAGAGAUGGCCAGAUGCUAUGAGAAAGAAUGGAAAUCUGUAGCUGGCAGGGGGUGGGGCUGGGGAAUAGGAAACAUCUUCAGGACACGUUGGAGACCUGGGAUAGGGGAGGCUCCCAAGAAUCAAUGGGGCUGACCUUAGCUAGACAUCAGUGGGGAUAUGAAACCUGAAGAGGCCACCUCCUGUCGACAGGUGGGAACCCCGGUGGAACGAUAGGGACACUAACCCACCCACAAAACUUUCAACCCCUAAUUUAUCCUGCCUACAAGAAAUGCAGGGUUGGGGAUGAAGCAUAGACUGAGGGAAUGGUCCACUCAUAAGGGGCCCAGCUAGUAGACACCCAUCCCCUGGGCAAGUGACAGUCCCUGACACUACUGAUAUGCUAUGCUUACAGACUGGAGCCUAGCAUGGCUGUCUUUUGAGAGGCUCCACCUAGCAGUUGACUCAGAUGCAGAAAUCCACAGCCAAAGAUUGGAUGGAGCUUGGAACUCUUUUAUGGAAGAGUUGGAGGAAGGAUUGAGGGCCCAGAAGGGGAUAGGAACUCCACAAGAAGACCAACAGUCAACUAACCUGGACCCUUGGGGGCUCUCAGAGACUGGACCACCAACAAAAGAGCAUUCAGUGGCUGGAUCUAACUGCCCCCUUUUGCCUGUACUAUGGACAGCUCUCAACCCACCCCUACCUGCCCUCGGGGGUUGGGGGUGAGUUGGCGCAGAGUCAAGGACAUGGACAGACCCCUGGUAACAGGUGAGAAAUGCUGCAGCAAGCUCAUCUGAGCACUGCUGCAAGCUCUCUUAAUACCCUCCACCCAUGGCCCCAUUGGUCCCAAGAAAGCAUUCUGAACAGCAGUUAAUGAUUGGCUGGUAUUAUUUGCACCAGCAAUUCUUUCUCUCUUAGGCAGUCCUCAGUUAGGUCCUCCUGCAGGAAUGCUGGUGUCAUAGACAGUCCUCAAUUAGGUCCUCCUGCGGGAGAUGCUUCUGCAGCUGCACAGCCCCCAGCAUUUACACGGGCAACUCUGCGGUUCCUGCUACAGCCCCCGUUCCUCGCACGCACAUACGUAGCAGAUGUGCAGCUAGGUCUUCAUUUAGGUCCGGAACAACUGGAGCUGGACUAUCCCUAAAGCUGUUGCCUGUUUGUGGAAUCUGCUUCCCUAACUUGGCUGUCUUGUCUGGCCUCAGUAGGAGAAGAAGUGCCUAGCCCAGCAGGACUUGCUGUAUCAGGGUUGGGGGAUACCCAGAGAAGGCGUUAGUUACUCUUCUCGGUGGUGUGACAAAAAACCUGGUGGAAAAUAAGAAGAAAGGAUCUUUUUCAUUCACAGUCUGCGGUUGUAGACCAUGUAGCAGCUGCUCACAUUUUGUCCAGUCAGGAAACAGAUGGACGCUCAAUGUUUCAGUUACUGUUACUAAACAGAAACAGCUUAAGAGAGAAAGGGGUCACUUCCACUUGAAUUUCAAGGAUACAGGUAAUUACAACAGGGAAGUCCUGGGGGCAGGAACGUCCUGGGUGGGAGCAGGAACUUGAGGCAGUCGGCUAGCUACCUCUUCUUCCAAGACCAUGGAAUAGUGAGCGCUACUCUCUUUAAUGUAGAGUUAGGCUUCUCACCUAAGUAAACCCAUUAAGAUAAUUUCCCAUAGCACGAUCAGAGAUUGGUCUCCUAGGUGUUUGAGAAUCUGUCCAGUUUACAAUAGUGUAAACUUAGCUUGGUUCCUCCCUUUCACCCAGUCCUGGACCCCAGCUCAGGGAAUGGUGCUGUUUGCUUUUAGGGCGUGUCCCCUCACAUCUAUUGCCUUUAUUUAAUCCCUCCCAGACAUACCCAGAGACUCAUCUCUCUGAUGACCUUAGACCAUAUCAAGUUGAUAUUAAUCACUACAGGAAGCAGUCCUACUUCUUUUUAAAUUUUUUUUUUUUUAAAUUUUACUUUUAUGUUAUAUGCAUUGGUGGUUUUGCCUCUAGGUAUGUCUAUGAGGGUGUCAAUGCCCUGGUACUGGAGUUGCAGACAGUUGUGAGUUGCUACGUGGGAGCUUGGAAUUAAACUCCAGUCCUCCGGAAGAACAGCUAGUAUUCUUUUCUUUUCCCAACAGAGUAGUUUUAUUGCUUAUUUGGGAAUUUGACGUAAUGCACCCUGAUCAUACUCACUUCCCAGGCUUUCCAGGUCCACCUCACCCUUGUAAGCCCCCCACUCCCCCCAAGUCCACAAGUUCAAUUUAUGUUGCUCAUAUACUCACUGGAGCGUGGUCAAAGUCCAAGUGGCCAACCCCUAAAAGAAAACUGAGUUCUUUCCCAUCCUCACUCUUGCCAGAAGCCCUCAGCUGUGCAGAGCCACACUUCAGUUUCCUGAGCACACUUUUAAGAGUUCUCUUCAAUGCGGCCAGUAGUGUAACCACUGAGCCAUCUCUUCAGCACCCCCAUUUUGGUUAUCAUUCCUCUAUCUCUCCCUUCAAACCCACACGUAUAUCCUCCCUUGCUCUCUUUCAGCUUCAUGACCUUUUUAUUUCAUUUUACGUUUCAUUGUUGUAUAUGUAUGUAUAUGUAUUUCUAAACGUACCCUGCUCAGUCUGUAAUAUUUGUUGUUCUGGGCAGCUCUUAUCCAAGAUAAGGAGAUCAGGACCAGCUCUUUAUGAAUUUUAAGUUUUUAUUGAGCCACACAGAGCUGUCCAGGGGGCACUCACCACUUUGACUGUAAGUAUAAAGAGGCACCCCAACUCUGUAAAGAAGGUUGUAAAGGUAAAACCUACAGGUUGGGCACAUCCCAUGAGCUCUGUUGAGGUGGCUGUUGGCAAGCAUGACAGGAUAAAGACUUUUUACAAAAAUGGGGCACAGCUGUGUUACCAUGGUAUCACUGUUUGAUGAGGGAGAGGAGCAGAAAGCCUCAUGGUUAUAAAAGCCGAACAAUGGCAGGCAACUUAAGGUUCCCAUAAGUAGUUUACAUGCCUGAGGGUCAGACAGACCUCAGUCUUAGCCUGAGGUAGGGUCAGGAAUUAGCAGACAUGUUUUUCCUCACUACAUACAUUGUGAUAUUCUUCUUAGCAGUUCAUGGAACCUUCUCUAAAAUAGAGCACAUUUGAAGUCACAAAUAAAGAUGUACUGAAUACAAAAUAA